GACGAACGCUGGCGGCGUGCUUAACACAUGCAAGUCGAGCGGUAAGGCCCUUUCGGGGGUACGACGAGCGGCGAACGGGUGAGUAACACGUGGGUGACCUGCCCUCAGCUCUGGGAUAAGCCUGGGAAACUGGGUCUAAUACUGGAUAUGACUCCACGGUGCAUGUCGUGGGGUGGAAAGCCUUGUGCGGCUGAGGAUGGGCCCGCGGCCUAUCAGCUUGUUGGUGGGGUGANGGCCUACCAAGGCGACGACGGGUAGCCGGCCUGAGAGGGCGACCGGCCACACUGGGACUGAGACACGGCCCAGACUCCUACGGGAGGCAGCAGUGGGGAAUCUUGCGCAAUGGGCGAAAGCCUGACGCAGCGACGCCGCGUGAGGGAUGACGGCCUCGGUUGUAACUC
rnacentral:rRNA from 1 species